rnacentral:rRNA from 1 species
GAUGAACGCUGGCGGCGCGCCUAAUACAUGCAAGUCGAGCGAGAAGACGUAGCAAUACGUUUGUAAAGCGGCGAACGGGUGAGGAAUACAUGGGUAACCUACCCUCGAGUGGGGAAUAACUAGCCGAAAGGUUAGCUAAUAUCGCGUACGCUUCUUGGACUUCGGUUCAGGGAGGAAAGCGAUACCGUGGGUAUCGCGCUCUUGGAUGGGCUCAUGUCCUAUCAGCUUGNGGUGAGGUAACGGCUCACCAAGGCUUUGACGGGUAGCUGGUCUGAGAGGACGAUCAGCCACACUGGCACUGCGACACGGGCCAGGCUCCUACGGGAGGCAGCAGUAAGGAAUAUUGCGCAAUGGGCGAAAGCCUGACGCAGCGACGCCGCGUGGGGGAGU